rnacentral:rRNA from 1 species
CCUACGGGAGGCAGCAGUGGGGGAUAUUGCACAAUGGGGGAAACCCUGAUGCAGCGACGCCGCGUGAGUGAAGAAGUAUUUCGGUAUGUAAAGCUCUAUCAGCAGGGAAGAAAAAAGACGGUACCUGACUAAGAAGCCCCGGCUAACUACGUGCCAGCAGCCGCGGUAAUACGUAGGGGGCAAGCGUUAUCCGGAUUUACUGGGUGUAAAGGGAGCGUAGACGGCAAUACAAGUCGGAAGUGAAAUACCCCGGCUCAACCUGGGAACUGCUUUGGAAACUGUAUGGCUGGAGUGCUGGAGAGGUAAGCGGAAUUCCUAGUGUAGCGGUGAAAUGCGUAGAUAUUAGGAGGAACACCAGUGGCGAAGGCGGCUUACUGGACAGAAACUGACGUUGAGGCUCGAAAGCGUGGGGAGCAAACAGGAUUAGAUACCCCAGUAGUC